rnacentral:rRNA from 1 species
UACGUAGGUGGCGAGCGUUGUCCGGAUUUACUGGGCGUAGAGGGAGCGUAGGCGGAUUUUUAAGUGAGAUGUGAAAUACUCGGGCUCAACUUGAGUGCUGCAUUUCAAACUGGAAGUCUAGAGUGCAGGAGAGGAGAAUGGAAUUCCUAGUGUAGCGGUGAAAUGCGUAGAGAUUAGGAAGAACACCAGUGGCGAAGGCGAUUCUCUGGACUGUAACUGACGCUGAGGCUCGAAAGCGUGGGGAGCAAACAGG